ACACAUUUCUUCAAAAUUCCAUGAGAAGAAUAUUCUUAUUCUGCUCUCUUCUACCAGAGUCUGGAGAAGUCGUUAGCUGCAUUUACUAACAGCUGUCUUGCUGAGGCAUUUGACAUUUCUGAUUCAGCCUUUGCUGCAUCUGGAACAUGCGUUUUCUGUCGUCCCUGUCAACGAGCAUCUCCACCAGCCGUGGCUUCCAGCCAGCCCCCCAAGCGAUUGCUCAUGUUACCUUCUAUGUAAAUCUCUGCGGAAGUGGAGUCCGUUCCAUAGAUGUUUGAAGCAAAGCACGAGUAACGUCCUGUAUCCUCCUCGAAAGCUUCAACGAUAACUAAGGAGUGUCGAUCUCCUUCCUGGAUAAUUUGGAUGUCUGGAACACCCAUCUGUAUUUCAUCUCAAAAUCUGCAGAUGUUGUCAGAGCUGAAGAAAGGCUAGAGAUCUUUAGAGAGCACUGGUCAAUCUACAGAGGAGAUGCAAGUAGAGAAAUAAAUACUGGGUGAUCAAAACCUGUUGCAGCCAAUAAAAGCAUAAUCACACAGGCCACAAAAGAAAGAAGAGCUGGCCUUGAUGCUCCCAGAAAUGGGAUGGGAUAAAUCCUCUCRUUCCACCAAAGAUGCCUGUGCUUGCUCGGAGCCAAGCCACUGAACGCUUACCUGGCCUCUGACCUCAACGCUACAGUAGCGGRACGUCCUGACAGCAUAAAAUAUUUAACUCUU